rnacentral:rRNA from 1 species
UUAUAACCUUGAUGUUACCUGCAGAAUAAGCACCGGCUAAUUCCGUGCCAGCAGCCGCGGUAAUACGGAAGGUGCAAGCGUUAAUCGGAAUUACUGGGCGUAAAGCGCGCGUAGGUGGUUUGUUAAGUUGGAUGUGAAAGCCCUGGGCUCAACCUAGGAACUGCAUCCAAAACUAACUCACUAGAGUACGAUAGAGGGAGGUAGAAUUCAUAGUGUAGCGGUGGAAUGCGUAGAUAUUAUGAAGAAUACCAGUGGCGAAGGCGGCCUCCUGGAUCUGUACUGACACUGAGGUGCGAAAGCGUGGGUAGCGAACAGGAUUAGAUACCCUGGUAGUCCACGCCGUAAACGAUGACAACUAUCUGUUGGGAGGCAAUGCCUUUCAGUGGAGCAGCUAACGUUUUAAGUUGUCCGCCUGGGGAGUACGGCCGCAAGGCUAAAACUCAAAUGAAUUGACGGGGACCCGCACAAGCAGUGGAUCAUGUGGUUUAAUUCGAUGCAACGCGAAAAACCUUACCUACUCUUGACAUACUUGGAAGCUCUUGUAAUGAGAGUGUGCUUUUAAGAACCAAGAUACAGGUGCUGCAUGGCUGUCGUCAGCUCGUGUCGUGAGAUGUUCCGUUAAGUCGGAUAACGAGCGCAACCCUUACCCUUAUUUGCCAGCGAUUCGGUCGGGAACUAUAAGGGGACUGCCGGUGAUAAACCGGAGGAAGGUGAGGACGACGUCAAGUCAUCAUGGCCCUUACGAGUAGGGCUACACACGUGAUACAAUGGGAGAGACAGACGGACGCUAAGCCGCGAGGUGGUGCUAAUCCUAGAAACUCUCUCGUAGUCCGGAUUGGAGUCUGCAACUCGACUCCAUGAAGUUGGAAUUGCUAGUAAUCGCGGAUCAGCAUGCCGCGGUGAAUACGUUCUCGGGUCUUGUACACACCGCCCGUCACACCAUGGAAGUGGAUUGCACCAGAAGUAGAUAGUCUAACCUUAGGGAGGGCGUUUACCACGGUGUGCUUCAUGACUGGGGUGAAGUCGUAACAAGGUAGCCGUAGGGGAACCUGUGGCUG